GAUGAACGCUGGCGGCGUGCCUAAUACAUGCAAGUCGAGCGAACAGACGAGGAGCUUGCUCCUCUGACGUUAGCGGCGGACGUGUGAGUAACACGUGGAUAACCUACCUAUAAGACUGGGAUAACUUCGGGAAACCGGAGCUAAUACCGGAUAAUAUAUUGAACCGCAGGGUUCAAUAGUGAAAGACGGUUUUGCUGUCACUUAUAGAUGGAUCCGCGCCGCAUUAGCUAGUUGGUAAGGUAACGGCUUACCAAGGCGACGAUGCGUAGCCGACCUGAGAGGGUGAUCGGCCACACUGGAACUGAGACACGGUCCAGACUCCUACGGGAGGCAGCAGUAGGGAAUCUUCCGCAAUGGGCGAAAGCCUGACGGAGCAACGCCGCGUGAGUGAUGAAGGUCUUCGGAUCGUAAAACUCUGUUAUUAGGGAAGAACAAAUGUGUAAGUAACUAUGCAUGUCUUGACGGUACCUAAUCAGAAAGCCACGGCUAACUACGUG
rnacentral:rRNA from 1 species